AACGAACGCUGGCGGCAUGCCUAACACAUGCAAGUCGAACGAGACCUUCGGGUCUAGUGGCGAACGGGUGCGUAACGCGUGGGAACCUGCCCUUAGGUUCGGAAUAACUCCCCGAAAGGGGUGCUAAUACCGGAUAAUGUCUUCGGACCAAAGAUUUAUCGCCUUUGGAUGGGCCCGCGUUGGAUUAGCUAGUUGGUAGGGUAAAAGCCUACCAAGGCGACGAUCCAUAGCUGGUCUGAGAGGAUGAUCAGCCACACUGGGACUGAGACACGGCCCAGACUCCUACGGGAGGCAGCAGUGAGGAAUAUUGGACAAUGGGCGAAAGCCUGAUCCAGCAAUGCCGCGUGAGUGAUGAAGGCCUUAGGGUUGUAAAGCUCUUUUACCCGGGAUGAUAAUGACAGUACCGGGAGAAUAAGCUCCGGCUAACUCCGUG
rnacentral:rRNA from 1 species